CAGGAACUCAGGAGCAGUUUGGCUGCAUCACUCUACCUCUGAAUACAUCGUAACGUUCCACUCCGGAUGUUGACCGAGGCUGGGCUCAUGGGAAGGCUUGACUGAGGAUGGAGGGUCAGCUUUGAAGGCCUCUCACACAGCUGGCUUGCCCUGGUAAUCGCCUCCGGCUUCCAUGAGUUGGUUUUCAUUAGGGAGGAUGUAGUGGGUAGCCGUUCCAGCUUUGACCUGGAAGUACCACCCUCUUUGAGGCUUCAGUAACUGUCACACCUACAAGGCAGAGCCGAGAGAGGACCCCUGAAGACCCGAGAUGGAGAUGGGCCAGCUCUCUUGGUUCCUGGACCCUGGACGCUGGAGGUAGACUGAGCAGAGUUCUCCAGAGAACACUGCUGGACUGCGCUUCACCUUUCCCAGACCUGUAACCUAUCCCUUUA